rnacentral:rRNA from 1 species
GACGAACGCUGGCGGCGUGCCUAAUACAUGCAAGUCGAACGCAGUGGGGACGGGUGAGUAACACGUGGGUAACCUCCCAUCAGAGGGGAUAACACUUGGAAACAGGUGCUAAACCGAUACUGAUGGAUGGACCCGCGGUGGAUUAGCUAGUGGGGGAGGUAACGGCUCACCAAGGCCACGAUGCAUAGCGGACCGUAGAGGGUGAUAGGGCACACUGGGACUGAGACACGGCCCAUACUCCAACGAGAGGCAGCAGUGGGGAAUUUUCGGCAAUGGACGAAAGUCUGACCAAGCAACGCCGCGUGGUUGAAGAAGGUUUUCGGAUGGUAAAACUCUGUUGUUAGGGAUGCGGUAUCUAACCAGAAAGCCACGGCUAACUACGUGCCAGCAGCCGCGGUAAUAC